GGAGGGAAAUCCUUUUAGUUUUGUGAUAAGGUUUUUGGUCUUUAAAAGCGGCUUUAAAACAAAGUCAUGGUUACUCUUUUGUAUGAUAAGCCCAAAAUGUUAUGUAGAUUUUGUUUGCACGUUUACGUUGAGCCAGACACUGGGUCUUGUGUGUACAAUGUACUUACGUAUGUAUGUAUGUUGCUGGACCUUGCUCUAGAUCUGUGUUGUAUUUGGGGAAUAUAUGCUUAAGUAUUAACUCGGUAAUGCCUUCUAAUGGUAGUGCUAAUUACAGUAGGGUUGUUUAGCAAAUUAAGUGAGAUGGUGCACCCUCCUUGAGCACACAAUUAACUUACACACACACACACACUCAUACGUCAAUUUUGGUAUGUUUCUCUCGCCCAAUCACUUUGCUGGAACUAAAACAUGCCUUACCUCAGAGCAGUCAAUUACCAAAGCUACCCAAGAUCAUCAAUCAUGGGGGAUGCUUGAAGUUUAGGGGAGGAGCGAUGGUCAAACUAUCGAUUGCUGCACUUUUGUCCCCCACUCCCCCUUUUUCUCGUUCACGGUCCCCUGCACAUAAAAUCUAAAACAGUCUAUCCCGUUAAUAGUGGGAUUUAUCAAUGAUUAUGUAUGUACCCAGUUGUGAAUGUGGCCUCAUACAUAGAUGGCUUUUAAACAUACACCGCAAAAAUGUAUUUGAGUCAGUUAGGGAUUGUUUAUUAUUGUUAUUUUAAGAUUUUUUUGGAAACUAACUAACUAGAUGAAUAAAAAAACCCAAAGGGUAAUUAUAGAAAUUUGGCUAGAUUUUAAUGGGCAUAGAGAAUGAGCUCCAGAGGUCAAUAAACCCCUCGAAAAUGAUGAAUGAUUGAGUACCUGUGAUGAUGAUAGUGAUUACCGGAGCAAUUAAACAGUUUGAUUAAAUGAGCCAUCAUAACAAUGAUGUCUGCGGGAAAUCAGCCCUCACAUAUAAAGAAAGAUAGUGUGGAGGGCUGACAAACGCCAGUGGGCAUUCCUACGAGUCCUGAUAGCGGUGAGCCCUGCAGAGCAGCCUGUAUUUACAAAUAUGAGAGCAAUAUGGAGAAAAGUCACUCAGAUACUUUUAGCCAGACUUGCACCCUCCUUAAAAAUCGUCAGAAGCCGAAGAGCAGACCGGUUAUUUUUCCCCUAGAGGAUCUCCUCCAAGAUUAAAGCUAGCUCUAAGAGCAACCGAUAUUCUGUGACUGAUUUUCACGGGACUAUAAAGAAAGGUAAAGCGGGAUGGUUCAAAAUAACACUGCCAUGGAAGGGCUAAUGCAGCUACUAAAUGCCCCUCAUAAGGUGGA